GUAGAGGAAAUGCGUGAUUUUUUGGAUACAUGGGGAUUCUUGUAGCAAAAAUGUUUGAUUUUGGGGUCCAAUGGGGGAUUUUUGAAGAGCAGAAGCGUGAUUUUCACGUUAAAUGGGGGGUUUUCCGUGAGAAAAUGUGUGAUUUGGGGGAUAAUGGGUAUUUUUGAAGAGAUAAAGCAUGAUUUUGGGGUAAAUGGGGGAUUUUGCAAGAGAAAAGGCGAGAUUGUUGAGUUAAAUGGGGGAUUUUGCAAGAGAAAAUGCGUGCUUUUGGGGUUAAAUGGGGGAUUGUUGAAGAGACAAUGCAUGAUUUGGGGGUUAA
ensembl:lncRNA